GGUGCAGAGGAUUUGAACAGAAUCAGAGUCCUCCUCUGUGCAGGGAGAAAGGCUUCAGUGGGUCUCCCCUCCCUGCUAGGGAUCCUCCUUGCCAGCCCUGGGCUGGGCGCUGGCAGGCCCAUUCCCAGGUCUCCCGCCGAGGGCAGGAGAGGAGCCAGGCCUCAGGAGAGAAGUGCUUACUGAGUAAUUUACCAAGAGCGAUAGGCUUCCCACUGAGCCAGACGGGAUCCCCAGGAGGGGAGUCAGAGGCGGGCCUGGCAUGCAUGCACAGAGAGAGUGUGCCCACUUGGGGAGUGUGAAGGGCCUUGCUGUGGGACCCGAGAGGAUGAGCAGAGUCAAGUGGCAGGUGGGACACACAGUCUGCAGUCACUUCUUAAAAGGCCCUGGGUGGUGUGUCCUUCAGUGAUGACCAUUGUCCACGAUAGUGAGUUCCAGAGGGUCGAUUGGGACAGUUGGAUAGCCAAGGACCAGAGUCAGGAGGCAAGGCUGAUGAGCAAGAGGCUGUUGCCAUUGGCCAGGCGAGGCGUGAGGGAGGCUGAUGGAGCGCAGCAGCAGAGGGAUGGACAGGCAGGAAUGGCAUCUCCUCACAGGCCAGGCUCCUCUGCCGGGUUGGGUAGGGACGGGAAGAUGAUGGCCCCCAACCCUGGGCCAAGGAACAAUAGCACCCAUCCGGGGGCGGGGGACCUGCUGGAGUACUUCUCCUGGACCACUGCCCAGUGGGCAAUAGAGGGAACAAUGGUGUUUCUGACCAGGACGGGGGAAGGCAGGGGAAUGGAGGAAGAUACUGACAGGGUACAGAGGAGGUAGAAUGGAGCGAGGGCCAUCUCCACCGGGCUAGGAAAUGGGGCUUUGGUGGGCCACACUCCAUUGUGCUGGAGCGCUCUGGCAUCUCCAUUGGCAGUGGGGAGGGGCUUGUGACCUAUCAGCAUCUUCACCCUUUCUGAGUUUCCGCCGGGCUGGGCUCUCCAGCCAGGAGUCACAGGUACCGGGUGGUUGUUCAUGCUGAGGCCUUUUGCUUGGCAAAAAGUUAAUCCAUUUGUGUUCAUUUUUAACCUAAGCAAGGGUUGGAGCUUGUUGGAUUCAGCAUCUGUGGAACACAGUCUGUAGCCCAUGGGAAGACGUGGACAUUCUUUCCCAAGUUCUUGAAGGACGGAAAGGACCAUGAACUUGUGAGGUGACCGGAGGAUUGGUUUUGGGUGUCAGUUUUGUGUCUGUCCCAGUGCUGCCACUUUUGCUUUGAAAUGGAUGGGGAGAGCUGAAGGCCAGCAUGGGUUUCUGCACCUGUUUCCUACAGCUCUGCUGGGGACUGUGGCUCAGGUGGCAGCUGUGGACACGGAUCCUGUCAGCCUUUGGGUGGCCAGAGCUCCAAGGCCAGGUGUCUCUUAGCUGCAAGCAGCCUUCACUGUUAAUCAACAGGCUACACAAAUCUCACCUCUAAAGAGGUGAAAUGUGAAAAUAUAUGGGAAGCACUGCCUUAGCCCUGUGUCCACAAAUCCUUUCUGUAAAGGGCCAGAUAGCAUUUCAGGCUUUAUGGACCAUGUGGUCUCUGCCACAACUGCUCAGCUCUGCCACUGUAGCACAAAAGCAGCCAGAGACAGUGCGUAAAUAGAUAGCAUGGCUGUGUUCUGAUGAAGCUUCACUUAAAAAUACACAGGGCUGUAGUUUGCCAACCCCUGCAAAGUAGGGAGUAUUUUGCCAAAGUUGGCUGUAUUUCACCAACCCCUUAGACUAUAGAGAUGACUUACCCUUUGGCUUAAUCAUGACUGGAAACUUCCUUCCCAUCCACUGCCUGGAACCAUCCACCUCCCCACAAAGGCUUCCUGAGCAUCUCCUCCGUGUGAGCACUGGCUCAAUGCACAGGACGAUGUAGUUCCUGCCCAUAUGGAACUUAGGUUUUGAGUGACACGUGGGACAUUGAAAGAGGAGAGCAGGUGGCUAAAGAGCAUCAUACAGAACAGGGCUCAGGGAAGUCCCAGGUGGUAGAAUCUCAAAGAGAAGGGCUGAGGGUGAAUCAGGAAAGCCCUGAAGGCAGGCAGCUCUGGAGUCGGGUUUAGACGAGGAGGCUGCAGUUCUCCAGGAAGGGAAACAGGACCAGAUAACGGAUGAGAUUGUGUCAAACAAUGAGGAGGCCUGCAUAGUCACACAGGCGCAUGGGGUCUGCUCGUAAAGGACCAGGAGGGCCAGGCUCAGGAGUGUGGACUGGAUUCUCUGGGCAGUAGGGAGCCAUUGGACAGCUGUGCUCAGGAGGGUCAUGUGAUCACAAAUGCUUAUUAGAAAUGUCACUGGCUAUGGAGGACCAUGUCUGUGGUUAUAAGUUACGCCUUUCCGUUUAGUCUGGACUUCUUGGUCAAGGUACUUUUGGUAUUAGAGUGGGGAAGAGAGGCCCAGAGAGUUGGACAGGUUUUCUGACCAUUGGCUUAUAGUCAGUGAGCACCCCACCUUUAUUUUGACAUGACAGAGCUUUACAGAAUCUUCCUUCUUCAGGCGUUUUCUUUCCUGCUAUCCUAAAGAUUCACGUACAAGGGCAGGAUAAAUGAAACAUUCUGUCUCCAAUCUAAGUUCGGCUUGGGGCCUCAGAAUAUGAAGGUAAAGGGGCGGGGACGGACUGACUGCCCCUUGCUUCAGAAUCAAGUCACAUGGCGGGAACGCUCUAUGGAGCAGAUUGCUUCCUUUGUACAUGCCCUAGGCCCGUGUUCAGCAGGCCUCAGAGAAGCAGAGGUGCUGGCCUCUCGUCUCCAGAGGCUGCCAGCUACUAAGGGAGGUGGAAGCAACUACCCCUGGGGGUGGACUGCUCUGGGCCGGGCCCGACGUCAGGCGUAGGGGACUGAGGUGAAUCAGACAUGGUGGCUGCAUUGAGGAAUGCUCAGUGUAGUUGGGGUGAUGAAAAAACCCACGGCUGUUUGUAGCGCUUUCUGCUGAGCAUGGUCUUUCCUCUCAGAGGGGUUUCUAGGCACGUUGAAGGGAGCUGCCAUUCAGAGCAUCGGAGAGGUGCCAGGGACGUGAGCUGCUGCCAGUUUGACAUGAACAGAAGGUGGGAGUAGCUAGUGUUGCUGUGCGUUGAUAGGAGCACAGUGUCCGCUGUGAAGGGGCGGGUAGGGCUGGAGAAAGAUGGCCUAAUACAAGCGCCUCCACAGGUGCUGAUUCAGUGAAGCCCCAACAGCCCCGCGGGGUAGGUGAGGAUCACAUGCAGCUCGGAGAAGAGAAGGCACUUGCCCCUCUGCCUGAGCUGGGAGGUGGUGGCCAGCUGCACACAGGGCUGUCCCAGGAUGCUGACGAGGCGGGACCAGCCACAGGCCGGCAGCGCUGCACUGUGACCCUUUCACAGGGCCCAGCCUUGUUUCUGGCCUUCCGGGACUGAGUCAGGAGGUGAGGGCUAUGUUGCUGCCCCAGCACAGUCGGGCCAGGUGUGGGGAAAGGCAGGAGGGAGGUGUGCUGUGCUCUGAGCAGCCUGGCAGGCCCUGGAGAGGCAGGAAGCCACUGCAAACUUCAGAAACUGGGUGCUGCUUCCUCUCAGUGAAGUUGUGUUUUGCUACUCUCUGAUAAUCAGGUCAGGGAUACAGAAGGAAGAGUUGCCCCUGGGUGGCUGCUGUCUUUAGACUUGUCGGGCUCCCUCUGGUACAGACGUGCCUCUCGGAUUUUGCUGCCUGGUCUUCUCUCUUAUGGACAUGGAGUGGCUCUCAGGCUCUUAUGGUACAGCUCUAAGAAGGAACACUUCUUGCAUUGUCUAGUGAAGUUUCUGGGUUUAUGGAAGGGAAACUGACAAACUGGAGCCGGCACAGAUGGACACUGGGUAAAGAGAAUGCAGCCUGUCCCUGGCUGCAGUGCCAGGUGUGGCCUUUCCUGUGACAGCAAGUCACGUGCUGUGGCUCCAGCUUCAUAGGAAGGCUCUUGUCUGUCAGGCAGUGGAGUUACUUACAGACAAGAGCCUUGCUCAGGCCAGCCCUGCCCCUGCCUACAGGCACAGGUGCUUUGCCAUCUGUCCCGUUUUCCUGCUUAGGGAACCAAGAUGGUCAGAAAGUUUCUUGACUCUAACCUAAAUAUUUCUGCCGCUUUUGCGAGUCAGACUCUUUUUCUUUUCAUUGUUCAUGGAAAUGGAUCAAGGAGUAGGAGUUUUAGAUAGCUAGGGAGGUGGUGAGAAGUUCCGUCUCCACCUGUAAUUUACAAGUCGAGUCUUAGGUUUCCAGCCUCUUUCCUCUGUUCUGGGUAUCUCGUGCUCUCCACCCUUUAGGGAUUUUGGUGUGGUGGGUCAGUGGCAAGACACUCGAUCCAGACACACGCAUUUCCGAGGCACUUCCAUGUCACUUACCAAGCCUCCUUGUGUGCGGAUAUCACUUCACUGGCUCCCUCAGGCUGCAGCCCUGACCCCCAAGGUAGUGAUGGCAACUGGUGCAUGAGGUUUGAUUUGGAAGUAGCCAGGCAAGCCCUGGUUGCAAAAAAUACCUCUUCUAUUCCGACAGCAGGCCAGAGGCCGCUGCCAUUAGACGCAUCCCUCUACUUACCCCCGAUCACUUUUCAUGGUCAGGCCGGCCUUGCACAAGCAGGUUCUGUUCACUCCGCACCCCCAUUUCUUAGAUGGGGUACUGAGCACUGCUUUUCCCUGAGCUCACUUCAUGUGGCAGCUUCUCAGGGAUGGGACCUACCAUGGCUGCGGGAGAUGCUUUGCUACUACUUACUACCUUUCCGAGGGAGGAGGGCUCAUUUUUAGAAAUGUUACUGGGGAGCCAAAUUGUAGGCAUCCGACCAGAGGGCCUCGCUCUCUCCAUCUCCCAGGAACCAAGGGUAGCUCUGGCUCUCUGAGGAGCUGUCUCCAGCCUCCAGGUGGGCGUCCUUUCCAGCAUACCAGGGCUUAUGGAGGCAAAAUGAAAGCUGGUCCACGUGGGAACUCCCUACUGUUGUCCUUUCCUUGGGCAGACACCAUAUACUUUUUAGCUCCUAGCAGUGUUUAUCCCGUUUUCCCCAAAGCAUCCUUGGACUCAGGCCUUUCAUCCUGGACCCAUCUGUCUGGCCUGUUGUGCUGAGCCUUUGGUCUAAGUGGUUGGUUGGUCCCAGCCACUUCUUCAAAAGAAGGUUUCCUGAGGUAACCAUCAAUUAGGGCAAUCGUACUUCCAGGAACAGUGAGGCUGAUGGGCCUGUUCCCAAGGGUACUUUGGCAGGGGGUGCUGGGGAAGGGGCUGGCCUAGGGCCAGGUUCAUCAUACCAUUAGCCCUACAGCCCCAUGCCUUUGUGUCCUGGUUUAGCCGCCGUGUAGUGGUCCUGCAGGAGUGGAGCCUGUAGGACUUGCUUCUCAGCGGCUCCAAGCAGAACUCUGUCUGGGAAGGUGGGAGGUGCAGCCAGUCUAGACCUGAAGCCCUCACACUAAGGACUAAGGUAGGCCUGCUCAGCCUUAGCCCUUCGUCAGCCCCAAGGGUUGGGGAGGCAGGAGGAGGCUGAGCGUAGUCGUGGAUAGAAACCUUUCCCUACCGCACGGUUACACACAUGGCAUGGGACUCCUGGCUGUGGCUCACUCGGGUCUACUGAAGACCAAGUUAGUUUUUAGAAAUCUAUUUAAAAUAUCUAUCAUGUAUCUAUUUACUGUGUUUUUCUGAAUAUGCAAGUGUAAAUAGUAUAAUUUGCAGUGCAAAAUCCUUGGCAAUAACUUUGUGUAUUAUGUUUAAAAACACUGGAAACCGCGACCACCAUGGACUGCCCUUCCCCUCUGAGGCAAUUAUUACAUGUAGGACUCUGAACUUUAAACCUUCAGCGUGACUGAAGCAGCAGCCUGCACAUGUGGAUGGUCAUCAGUGCCUCGCCCAGAGAUGCCUGGCCUUCAUCCAAAGGGACCCUGCUGCCACAAGUCCUCCAGGCAGCACCCGCGCACUGUGGCUCCUUCGCACUGAGUAUGUUGGACUCUGCCAUAGACUGACCCUCUUGUCUGGCUGCUGCAGUUUGUCUGUAAUGCCCUGACAUGUUGCAUUCUCCCCAUUUGGAUAAAUAAAAACAAAUGCUUCUGUCACACACA
rnacentral:sRNA from 1 species